rnacentral:rRNA from 1 species
GAUGAACGCUAGCGGCAGGCUUAACACAUGCAAGUCGAGGGGUAGAAGUUGCUUGCAACUUUGAGACCGGCGCACGGGUGCGUAACGCGUAUGCAAUCUACCUUAUACAGAGGGAUAGCCCAGAGAAAUUUGGAUUAAUACCUCAUAGUAUAAUUGAAUGGUAUCAUUUAAUUAUUAAAGUUCCAACGGUAUAAGAUGAGCAUGCGUCCUAUUAGCUAGAUGGUAAGGUAACGGCUUACCAUGGCAACGAUAGGUAGGGGUCCUGAGAGGGAGAUCCCCCACACUGGUACUGAGACACGGACCAGACUCCUACGGGAGGCAGCAGUGAGGAAUAUUGGACAAUGGGCGCAAGCCUGAUCCAGCCAUGCCGCGUGCAGGAAGAAGCAUCUAUGGUGUGUAAACUGCUUUUGUACGGGAAGAAACACCCCUUCGUGAAGGGACUUGACGGUACCGUAAGAAUAAGGAUCGGCUAACUCCGUGCCAGCCGCCGCGGUAA